GACUGCGUAGCUCAGUUGGCAGAGCAUUGGGCUGGUAUUCCAAAGGUCGUAGGUUCGAUUCCCUCCGUGGUCA
rnacentral:tRNA from 1 species